CACGUAGGGCGCAAGCGUUGUCCGGAAUUAUUGGGCGUAAAGAGCUCGUAGGCGGUGUGUCACGUCGAUCGUGAAAACUUACAGCUUAACUGUGAGCGUGCGGUUGAUACGGGCAUCACUGGAGUUCGGCAGGGGAGACUGGAAUUCCUGGUGUAGCGGUGAAAUGCGCAGAUAUCAGGAGGAACACCAGUGGCGAAGGCGGGUCUCUGGGCCGAUACUGACGCUGAGGAGCGAAAGCGUGGGGAGCGAACAGG
rnacentral:rRNA from 1 species